UGUGAUAAACUUCAGGUGAAUGGAUUC
rnacentral:piRNA from 1 species